GUAAAUGCCAGUCAAAAAUAUGUUUUGGUAUAUAACAGUAAGACCUGGACUGGAGCUCAGAGCUACUGCAAAGAGAAACACACAGACUUGGCCAGUGUGAGGAAUGAAACAGAACAUCAACAGAUACUGAAUGUUUCACUGGUUAUGAUGGUACUAUUCAUGGUUAUGAUGUAUGGAUCGGUCUGUACAGAAACAGACUGUGGUCAGAUCAGAGCAGCUCUUCCUUCACAUAUUGGCUGCCAUGGACCAAAGGUGAUUUUGCACAACCAGAUAAUGGUGCAAAUGUCUCAGGACAGUAUGGAGCUCAACACUGCACAGCUGUGUCUUUAAAAAGCUUUGGUCACUGGACAGAUGAGCGAUGCUUUGCCAGUUUGCCUUUCUUCUGUUACAGUGCACUUCAACCCAAGUUUUCAAAUGAGUAUGUGAUGGGAAUGCAAGUAAAAGUUACAAGUUUGGAAAGUCUGCCUCAUUCCCAGAUUGAAGAGCUGGUAAUCAUACAGUUACAAGAGCAGCUGGUCAGACUUGGACUUCCUAACAACGUCACCAUGCAUAUGAGAGGCUACCAUAAGAUCAACCCCUGAAGGAAGAGGACAACACUUUAUGUUUUCCAAUACUUACUUUCUUAAGCAAUACUAUAAUCACUUUUACAAAUUUAAAAUAAAUGAGUUACAUGAGUAUAUAGUGCAUACAGCUGUACAUAGCUUAUUCAAUACAUUUUACAUGUAAAGCAAAGCAGGUUAAACAAUUACAUGAUGCUAAGUAUACUAAUAAUUGCUGACAUGAGUAUGAUAUUUUCAAUAUAAAAUCAGAAAAAUAAAAUUAUUUUUUUUUUGCAAGUUAUGCAAUGUUAUGAAUGUUGUGUCAAUAAAGUUUAGAACUUUGAAAAAGAA